CGAAGGUGGCGAGCGUUACUCGGAAUUACUAGGUGUAAAGCGUGGGCAGGUGGUUUGGUAAGUCUGCUGUGAAAGCUCCUGGCUUAACUGGGAGAGGCCAGUGGAUACUGCCAGGCUUGAAUAUGGGAGAGGUGACUGGGAUUCCUGGUGUAGCGGUGAAAUGCGUAGAGAUCAGGAGGAACAUCGAUGGCGAAAGCAGGUCACUGGACCAUUAUUGACACUCAUCCACGAAAGCUGGGGGAUCAAACAGGAUUAGAUACCCUGGUAGUCCCAGCCGUAAACGAUGCUCAUUAGGUGUGGGAGGUAUCGACCCCUUCCGCGCCGACGCUAACGCAUUAAAUGAGCCACCUGGGGAGUACGGCCGCAAGGUUG
rnacentral:rRNA from 1 species